UACGUAGGGGGCGAGCGUUGUCCGGAUUUAUUGGGCGUAAAGAGCUCGUAGGCGGUUCGAUAAGUCGGACGUGAAAUCUCCACGCUCAACGUGGAGGGGCCGUUCGAUACUGUCGUGACUCGAGUCCGGUAGGGGAGACUGGAAUUCCUGGUGUAGCAGUGAAAUGCGCAGAUAUCAGGAGGAGCACCAAUUGCGAAGGCAGCUCGCUGGAACGUAACUGACGCUGAGACGCGAAAGCGUGGGGAGCAAACAGG
rnacentral:rRNA from 1 species